AUUUUAUUCCUAUAAAUUAAUCAUAUCAUAUUUUAUUUAUAACAUGCAAAAAGGAGAAAAUAUGGCUAAAACUCUUAAGAUUGUUCAUUUUAUGAUUUUAUUUAUUUAUGUAUUUUCUCUUGCAAGAAACAUUUCUGCAAUAAUUGAAUGUAACACAGAUGCAGAUUGUCACAAAUUGUUGCCUACAAGUUGGAAGUGCAUUAACAACAAAUGUACAUUUCUUAAACCUCCACGAGUAAGACUUCCAAAACAAUAAACCAUAUGUGAAAAUAAAUGUAUUAGCCCUAAAUAAAUGUUUUUUUUUUCUUUCAUAAUUUAAGACUUUGUAUUCUAAGAUGUUGGUAAUAAAAUGAAACAAGGCACUCGGAAUAUUAUUUAUUUAUUUUUCUCUGAUAAUAUAUGUUGGUCAUCCAUCUGAUGAUCAUUAAUUUCCCUAA